rnacentral:rRNA from 1 species
AUUGAACGCUGGCGGCAUGCCUUACACAUGCAAGUCGAACGGCAGCAUGGGUGCUUGCACCUGAUGGCGAGUGGCGAACGAGUGAGUAAUGCAUCGGAACGUACCCGGAAGUGGGGGAUAACGUAGCGAAAGUUACGCUAAUACCGCAUAUUCUGUGAGCAGGAAAGAGGGGGAUCGCAAGACCUCUCGCUUUCGGAGCGGCCGAUGUCGGAUUAGCUAGUUGGCGGGGUAAAGGCCCACCAAGGCAACGAUCCGUAGCGGGUCUGAGAGGAUGAUCCGCCACACUGGGACUGAGACACGGCCCAGACUCCUACGGGAGGCAGCAGUGGGGAAUUUUGGACAAUGGGGGCAACCCUGAUCCAGCCAUGCCGCGUGAGUGAAGAAGGCCUUCGGGUUGUAAAGCUCUUUCGGCUGGGAAGAAAUCGCAUCUCCUAAUACGGGGUGUGGAUGACGGUACCAGCAUAAGAAGCACCGGCUAACUACGUGCCAGCAGCCGCAGUAA